CGGCAUGCCUAAUACAUGCAAGUCGAACGGUAACAGGUCGCUGUGAUCCCUUCGGGGUGAACUUGAUGCUGACGAGUGGCGGACGGGUGAGGUAAUGCUUGGGAAUCUGCCCAGUAGUCGGGGGACAACACGGGGAAACUCGUGCUAAUACCGCAUACGUCCCCUUGUUUGGUUACAAGGGGAGAAAGUGGGGGAUCUUCGGACCUCACGCUAUUGGAUGAGCCCAAGUCGGAUUAGCUUGUUGGUAGGGUAACGGCUUACCAAGGCGACGAUCCGUAGCUGGUCUGAGAGGACGAUCAGCCACACUGGGACUGAGACACGGCCCAGACUCCUACGGGAGGCAGCAGUAGGGAAUAUUGGACAAUGGGCGCAAGCCUGAUCCAGCAAUGCCGCGUGUGUGAAGAAGGCCUGCGGGUUGUAAAGCACUUUCAGUAGAGAAGAAAGCCUCGGGUUAAUACCCCGGAGUCUUGACGUAACCUACAGAAGAAGCACCGGCUAACUCCGUG
rnacentral:rRNA from 1 species